GGUGAACGCUAGCGGUGCGCCUAACACAUGCAAGUCGAACGCGACCUACCAUGAAAUUUGAAGUGCUUGCACGGAUGACGAAUUGGAUUUUGGGUUGAGUGGCGAACGGGUGAGUAACACGUUGGUACCUGCCCCCAAGUCAGGGAUAGCCAUUGGAAACGAUGAUUAAUACCGGAUGUGCUCUUCGGAGUAAAGAUUUAUCGCUUGGGGAGGGGCCUGCGGACUAUCAGCUUGUUGGUGAGGUAAUAGCUCACCAAGGCUAUGACGGUUAACUGGUCUGAGAGGAUGAUCAGUCACAAUGAAACUGAGACACGGUUCAUACUCCUACGGGAGGCAGCAGUGAGGAAUCUUCCACAAUGGACGAAAGUCUGAUGGAGCGACACCGCGUGAAGGAUGAAGGUCUAACGAUUGUAAACUUCUUUUCUGAGGGAGCAAAAUGAGAGUACCUCAGGAAUAAGGGACGGCUAAUUACG
rnacentral:rRNA from 1 species